UAAUACGGUUUUACAUAUUGCUAUUAAGCAUAGUGAAGUUGGAAUAAUACAAUUACUAUGUGAUUAUGGUUGUUUAAAACUUAUUUAUUAUUCUUCUAUAGAAAACAAAAAAACAAAUGUUUUACAAUUAUGUAUACAACAAAGACAUUUUCUAGCUUAUAUUUUAAUAAAGCAAUGGAUACUUCAAAGUAAAUUUUCAAAAAAAUUAAAAACUACAAAAUCUGUAUAUACUUUUUAUAUUUGGUUUGUUGCAUAUUUAAAUUUACUUAUUUAUUUUAAUAUUACCAAAUCGUUUACUAUAAUAAAUAAAUACAAAACCGAAGCUAUUAUAUGGAUAACACUAUGGUUAUUGUACUUAGUUUUGUGGUGUUCUUUAUAUUUUAAAGAUCCUGGGUCUUAUAAUAAUAAAAAAAGACUUUCACUACAUGUAAAUGUACAUGCUGAUUCUUUUGGUUGUACUAAUUCUGAGCCCUAUGAUGAUAGAAGUAUUACAGCAGGAACUAUGACGUAUUAUAAUUCAUUUGGUGACGAUAAUAACACUCACUGUAGUACUAAAGCGCAUACUGUAGUUAAUAUGUAUAAUGACACAUAUAAUAACAAAUAUAAUAUGACUCAACAUAAUAUGUACAAUCAAACCGAUAAAAAUGCACAUAAUAAUACAUACAAUAACAUAAAUAAAUACAAUAACAUAAAUAAAUACAAUAACACAAAUAAAUAUAAUAACACAAAUAAAUACAAUAACACAAAUAAUAGUACAUAUGCAAACUGUAUUCAUAAUAAUUUUAUAAACAAACAAGCAGAAGCUGAAUUAAAUCGUAUAGAGAAAGAAAUCUUUCAAAUAAAUAAAAAAAUAUUUUCUUUUAACAAUUUACCUAGUAAUAAUUUUAAUAGAAAUAUGGAAAACGAAAGUAUGAUUGAAGAGUAUGAUAACAUUUUAAUAAAUUUAGAAAAGUAAUGUAUGUACUACUUGUAAUAUCAUCAAACCGUUGAGGGUCCACCAUUGUGCUGAAUGUCACCAUUGUGUUGUGUAAAAAAAAAAAAAAAAAAAAAA
rnacentral:lncRNA from 1 species